rnacentral:snRNA from 1 species
AUCGCUUCUCGGCCUUUUGGCUAAGAUCAAGUGUAGUAUCUGUUCUUAUCAGUUUAAAAGGAAGUGGCUAUAAAUACUUGAUCAUUGGAAAUCCAAACACAUGGGAUUUUUUAAUUGCUCCCAUA